rnacentral:rRNA from 1 species
UACGGAGGGUGCAAGCGUUGCUCGGAAUUAUUGGGCGUAAAGGGUAGGUAGGUGGUCUCAUUUGUCUGGGGUGAAAGCCUUGAGCUUAACUCGAGAAGUGCCCCAGAAACGGUGAGACUGGAGUCCUGGAGAGGGUCGUGGAAUUCCCGGUGUAGCGGUGGAAUGCGCAGAUAUCGGGAGGAACACCCGUGGCGAAGGCGGCACUCUGGGACGGUACUGACGCUGAGACGCGAAAGCGUGGGGAGCAAACAGG